rnacentral:siRNA from 1 species
CGCACACCAACGGGAAGAAGAGGG